AACGAACGCUGGCGGCAUGCCUAACACAUGCAAGUCGAACGAGACCUUCGGGUCUAGUGGCGCACGGGUGCGUAACGCGUGGGAACCUGCCCUUAGGUUCGGAAUAACUCCCCGAAAGGGGUGCUAAUACCGGAUAAUGUCUUCGGACCAAAGAUUUAUCGCCUUUGGAUGGGCCCGCGUUGGAUUAGCUAGUUGGUAGGGUAAAAGCCUACCAAGGCGACGAUCCAUAGCUGGUCUGAGAGGAUGAUCAGCCACACUGGGACUGAGACACGUCCCAGACUCCUACGGGAGGCAGCAGUGGGGAAUAUUGGACAAUGGGCGAAAGCCUGAUCCAGCAAUGCCGCGUGAGUGAUGAAGGCCUUAGGGUUGUAAAGCUCUUUUACCCGGGAUGAUAAUGACAGUACCGGGAGAAUAAGCUCCGGCUAACUCCGUG
rnacentral:rRNA from 1 species